CCAGCACCCGCGGUAAUUCCAGCUCCAAUAGCGUAUAUUAAAGUUGUUGCAGUUAAAAAGCUCGUAGUUGGAUUUCUGGCAGGAGCGACCGGUCUCACACUCUGUGUGAGAACUUGUGUUGUCUCUGGCCAUCCUUGGGGAGAUCCUGUUUGGCAUUAAGUUGUCGGGCAGGGGAUACCCAUCGUUUACUGUGAAAAAAUUAGAGUGUUUCAAGCAGGCUUUCGCCCUGAAUAAUUUAGCAUGGAAUAAUAAUUUAGGACUUCGGUUCUAUUUUGUUGGUUUCUAGAACCGAAGUAAUGAUUAAUAGGGACAGUCGGGGGCAUUCGUACUCAACAGUCAGAGGUGAAAUUCUUGGAUUUGUUGGAGACGAACUACUGCGAAAGCAUUUGCCAAGGAUGUUUUCAUUGAUCAAGAACGAAAGU
rnacentral:rRNA from 1 species